rnacentral:lncRNA from 1 species
AUCACACUAGCAUAUUAUUUAUGUCUGAUAUGCCUAAUUUAGUAAGAGGUUGCGAGCGUUGAGGAAUAUGUCAUGCAAUAUGACACCUCAGGACAUAAUGUUCAGUGUAUUGUUCUGUCAACUGACAGAAAUUGCCUAAAUUUAAUUACUGAUGGUGCUUCAAGGGGAAAAGGAUGGCGCUAGUUAGUGUACAUGGAAAGUGUUGCUUCCUUGUUUUGUCCGGAAGGUUUGCUUUGAUCAUCUAUCUUGUGCCUGCAAAUCAUGAUCUGCUUUCAUCUAUUGAAACCACAAUAUUUGGGAAACCUACAGCUAUAUGCCUUUUGGCCAGAAAUCCUAUUAGCUGAAUAAUUUGCACUUACUGCAUAAUAUAGUCGCACCCAGCUUGUGGUUAACCAAUCACGUUUCAUGUUUGCUGUUACAGACUAUUCUUUUCUUGCCGAUCUUUUGCUUGCCAAGAUGGACACUAGUCUUGAUUUUCUAUUUUUGUUCCAUUAAAUGGAAAACCUUUCAUUUUUGUUUUUGUUUUAGUGGUUUUAAUGUUCAAACUUUGAAUCUCAAAUGAAGCUUAUCAUACACUAAUGAAGCUUAUAUCUUUUCGGAGUUAUGAAUCGGGUCCUAAUUUGUUUAUACAUGAUGACAAUGUUGAUGCUAGACCUAUGUAACGAUGGGAUCCAACACGUUAUGAUUUUCAGUGGGGGCUGAAAAUCAGGUUGGGAUGACAUGGCCUUUUGUAGUGGUUUCCAUGAUGCUCUCUCUUCAACUUGUAACUCGUUUCCAUUUGUUUUCUACCAGGGUUGUAUGGUAGGUUUUGUUAUCUCCUUUUUGUGAGGAUUCUGGUCACAAUUUUACUCUCAUGAUUACCUCUUGGACAUUUUUUUUUUCUCUCACAUUCUUUGCCCGAUAUUUGUAUAUUGGCCAAAUUUUGUUCACCCUCCCUUUGAAAGAACAAGAUGCUAAUCCUUAUUUACUGUUGGACCAGCAAAUCUCGACACCAAGAUGUUCCAACAUAUGAAUGACUUAAAUUAUUUCAUUGCGGUGACACUUUAGAUGUACUGUUGGAUGUAUAUAUAGCUGAAAACUCAAAAAGUGGCAAAUUCUACGUGCGAUCUGCUGUUGUAAGCGAUCUGCUGUUAUUAUUUCACUAUUUUUCUCAGGAAAAAUUAUCGUUUGCCUUGAAAAUUUGCGGACUCUGUAGUAGGUGUUCUGGUGUCUGAGCUUUCAAAUCAUGGCAAGUAGACAAAAUGCUCUGGGAUUUAAGUACUUUGUUCAAACUAACAAUGAGUUGUCUCGACGAGAGAAGUUGCUGUCGAGAGUUAAUGGUACAUUUGUUUCAUUGAAAACUUUAUUCUAGAGUAAAAUAUAUUUUUUGGAAAUUAUUUUUCUUGAAAAUAUUUAGUUUUCAGUUUUUUGAUGGUUUAAGAAAAGUGAUUUCUUUUUUAAUUAGAAGGAUUUUUCCUAAUCCAAGCUUAUCAUAUUUAGUUCAUGGAAAAUGUUUUUGAUAGAUAAAUUAACUUUUUGUCAUCAGAACACUCAAAAGUUGAAAAACAAAGACAGUUUUUCCUCAAAUGGAUUUUAAAUCUGCCCUUUACAAAUGUCGUGUAUAUAUGGUGCAUAUUCAUAUUUAUCUAAACAAGGAUUCUUGUGUCACAAUACAAUUAACAUUGUUUGAGUCAAAAAUUGCACUGCAUGUAAUCGUCUAUGAUAUCGAUUCUCCUUAUUACUUUUCUCAUCUUGUACAUCGAUUCUCAUUAUUACUUUUCUCAUCUUGGACGUGCCUAUUAGAAACCUUCCAAUCCUAUGUUAGUAUGAAAAUAAAUCUUGUCAGAACUUCAACUUCGCAUCUUUUCAUUCAAAUAUGCUUAUUUGUUUCUUUUGUUUGAAAUUUUUUCCUUUCUUUAUGUUGAUAUUUUAGGGAAAAUUCUACUUAUGAUAUAGGUCUAUCGAGCAACGUGAGUCACCUAGGUGCUGUUUGGUCACGUUUCGGGGACACCUGAUUUGUUUUUUCGUUCCUUGGAACAAAAUUAGAAAAGAAACGCAUUUGGUAAUCGGGAAUAGAUUUAGAAUAGACACGAGAAAUAAAAAAAAAGUUGUUUCUAUUACCAAAAUAAAAAAAAUGAAGUUGUUUCUUGUUCUUGGGGAUAACUUAAGAAACAAGUGUUUGUUUCUUUUCUUUUCUUUCUUUUUCUCUUCCUUCUUCUUCCCUAGCUAGUUAUCGACCCGACAAUGGCUGGCGAUUGGCCAGACAAGGUUGCCCCGAGCUUGCCUCGCCUCGCCUGGCCAUCGUGAGGCCUGGCGUCCCUUGCCUCACUUGGCCUAUGCAAGGCCGAGUCUUGCCGAGCCAUGGGGAGGCUCGGGGGGACCUUGUCGGUGGCCAGUGAGGCUCUCCCGAGGCUGGCGACCUCGCCUGGCUGGUCGCCGGCUAGCCAUGGUCAAGUUGGCGACCGGCUAAGAGGAUAGAGCAGGAAAAAAAGAAGAAAAAAUAUGAUAAAAUUAUUAAUAUAUUAAAAGAAGUUUUAAGUCAUAAUUUUUUUUUGGGUUGUACCAAAAGUGUUUUUGUUUUCGGAACAUAAAUUUUUUAUAGUUACUAAAUGCUUUAAAAUAUUUAGAAAUUGUUCCCGAGAACAAAAAUAGAAAAAAAGAAAAAAAAUGUCACCAUAAGCACCUCUACUCAUCAAACUGCGAGUCUCCCACCCAAUGGAACCACCGGCUCAUACUUUCGCGAGUCACCUACUCGUCAAACUGCGAUUGACGUGACCAUGUAACCUGUUUUUGCCUCAUAGGCUCCUUAUCCCCGACAAUCUUCAAAGAAACCCAGAAAGGAGGGAAUUUUUCUUGGCCACUCAUUGGAACCCAUCAAACCAUGGCUUGAAGUACUGUAAAAAAAAAAAAAAACCAUGGCUUGAAGUGCCCACCGACAACUUUCUUUUUCCCUCGCGUGCCAAGAAGGAUCAAUCGUGCACUUCCUAAUGUAGUCACAUUGCAUAUAAUCCCACGAAGUGACACUUCACUGAAAUGCAAAAGAACCACAGAAAAUGGAGGCUUCAAGGAAAUCCCACAAGCCACACUGUUUAGUGCUAUCAUUCCCAGCACAAGGCCAUAUCAACCCCAUGCUCCAAUUCUCCAAGCGCCUAAUCCACAAAGGCGCCGGAGUCACUUUUGUCACCACCAGAUUCAUGUCCAAGACCCUGCAUGGAUUGUCCUCUAACCCCUCGAUUUCACUUGAGAGUAUCUCUGAUGGCUUCGAUGAUGGCGGCAUGAAGGCCGCCAGUAGCCCCGAAGCCUACCUCGAGCGCUUCUGGAAGAUCGGUCCAGAGACACUGAGCGAAUUGGUCGAGAGGCUGAUCUCUAGUGGCCGGCCACCGAGUUGCAUUGUCUACAACUCGUUCUUGCCUUGGGUUCUUGAUGUGGCCCAGAAGUACGGGCUGGUUGGGGCUGUUUUCUUCACCAUGUCCUGUGCUGUAAGCAGUGUGUUUUACCACUGCCAAAAGGGACUGCUUGAGGUCCCCGUUCGUAAGCAGGUUUUGCUUCCUGGGAUGCCUCCUCUUGAGCCUCAGGAUAUGCCAAGUUAUGUGUCUGAUCCGGAGUCAUACCCAGCUUACCUUGGCAUGCUUGUGGGUCAGUUCUCCAAUCUUGACAAAGUGGACUGGGUGCUUUGCAACACAGUUUAUGAGCUGGAACAAGAAGUAAGUACCCUAAAACUCCUUAGGAACUAAACCAUUUGUGAAUGAAAAAGCUUUAUUUUAAUCUUCUUCUCAGUCUUAUCUAAUUCCUUUGAGAGGGUAAAAUGGGGUCUGAUCAAUGUACGAGGAUUCAUGGACUAUACACACCUUUCACGGCAUGUUUAUUACCGUAUACCUUGCGUGUGUCAAAUUGAACAAUUAUUUGAAGAUAUGGUCGUUGAUAGUGAACAUGACCUGGGACCAUACGAGAAGAUAAGACGAGAACAUGAGUGGUACACGACUCGGAGUUGUCGAGCAGGAAUGGGCAGCGAAUUUGACUUAGCAUGUUAGCAAACAUGUACUUGGAGUUGUCUAGCUGGAAUGGACAGCGAAUAUGACUUUACAUGUUAGUGAAGAUUGAAAUUUCAUGAAUGAACAUGCGAUGCUCAAAUAUUUCCCUAUAAUCAAUCACCUAAUUAGGACAAGAAUUAAGUCCCAUGCUCUGCCUCUCAGCUAUCAUCUUUCUGAUCCAUGAGUCGUCCAACUUUUUCUUACGAGCAUUUAUCUAAAAUUUCGUGACAUUGGCUUUGCCUGGCAGCUAGUGGACUGGUUCAUGAAGGUCAUGCCAUUUAGGACCAUAGGGCCAACAGUGCCUUCCUUCUAUUUGGACAACAGGCUUGAGCAAGACAGAGAAUAUGGUCUCAGCAUCUUCCAACCAGAACACGACACCACCAUGAAAUGGCUGAGCACAAAGCCAAAAGGGUCGGUUGUGUAUGUCUCUUUUGGGAGUGUAGCAGAGCUAAAGAUUGACCAAAUGCAAGAACUUGCAAUGGGACUAAAGAGAAGCAACCGUUAUUUUCUCUGGGUGGUGAGGUCAUUUGAAGAAGACAAACUCCCGCAAGACUAUGCAAAAGAGACAGCCCAAAAGGGUCUAAUCGUAACAUGGUGUCCUCAACUGGAAGUCCUAGCGCAUGAAGCACUAGGGAUUUUUCUGACACAUUGCGGUUGGAACUCAACUUUGGAAGCGCUCACUUUGGGUGUGCCGAUGAUGGCGAUCCCGCAAUGGACCGACCAGCCCAUGAAUGCCAAGCACAUAAUGGAUGUGUGGAAGAUGGGGCUGAGGCCACCUGUUGAUGAGAGAGGUGUUGUGAGGCAUGAAGAUAUAGAGAAUUGCAUCAGGGAGAUAAUGGAAGGGGAAAGAGGGAAGGAGAUGAGAGAAAAUGCAGGAAAGUGGAGGAAAAUAACCAAAGAAGCAGUCAGUGAAGGUGGAAGCUCUGAUAGAAACAUCGAGGAGUUUGUUGCUAAAUUGAUUGAUAAGUUGUAAGAGAAGUUACCUGUGGCAGUAUGGAGAAAAUUCAAGUAACCAAUUCUUGCUUACCACAGGAUGAUAAAUGAUGUUGCAUAAUAGUGACGAUAUUAUUCAUGGUCAUGAGAUUCAUUAGGUAACAUCUUGGUACAUCGAUGAAUCUAAUCUCGAAUGACACAGGAUCAUAUAUCAAUUAACCUAAACCGCAACAAAUCAUUUUGAAUAUAAUACCAACCUCAAGAUAAUUGAAAAACCACUAAACUUCUGUUUUCCACUCUUAAUUAUUCCAAUAACAAAAUCAUCCCUAAUCUUCUCAAAGCAAUCGCUCCUGCCAACACCAUAAAUGAGUAGGCCUCAAAGCUGAGUAAGCCGGCCAGCAGCACAGUAUGCCAUCUAACAUCUAAAUGAGGAAUUGUCCACGCUAUUCCAGUAAAAUCGUGGUUGAGGCUAAUGCUAUCCGAUGCAUACCCACAAAUUAUAUCGAAGUUGCACUGGUAAACCAAUAGUGAGCUUCUGUGUUCAGGAGUUUAUGGUGUGGCAAAACCUCUAUUUUUUUCUUUCCAGCAUUCAAACUUUGAUCUGAAGUGACAAAGCUUAUGGUAAACAGCUGUGUCGUCGACGUUAAGGACCGGAUCAUAAUCUGUAUCUACACACUGACAAGGUUCAUCCCAGAACAAUGUAAUUGAUAGGAUUAUCUGAUACAUGAUGAUCCUGCGUGUCAGGGCGUUUGAAAAUGAGGUUGAGAUGUGAUCUCUAACGGUGAUUUGACGAACCUCUCUAUCUCUCCUCAUCGUGGGACUCUCCCUUUGUUUUCUGGUGCUCGUACUCUACCGGGUUUGAAUGCAUGGUUAGUUUGUUCAUCUUCUUCAUGUUGAGUUGAGAGUAUUCUGAUCAACACGUGUCUCCUUGAAUUGUUUGUUUAUUUCCUUUUUUCCCUUUUGUUGGAUACUCAAUAUCAACCAAACUUGUUCAUCCUUUCCAGCGAAAGCGAAAAGGCCAAUCCUGAUCCGAUCUCGGACCAGCAAAUAUUGAAAAUGACAAUUUUCAACGAAGGAAACACUUAAUUCAUCUCAUCAUGCAAUUGCAAGUUAAGAAUUUUGAUACAUAUGAAUUUUACACGCAAUCUCCUAGAGUUCAGAGUAUGUACCCUUAUUCCUUGCCAAAAAAAAGAAAAACAAAGGAAAAGGUAUUUUCUUUCCUAUUCUAGUAGAUUUCUGAAAGAGUUUUUUUUUUUUUUUUGAUUGAGAGAAAACUGUAAUCAUUACUCAAAAGGAUAUAGACUUUCAUGACAAAGCAAAUCAAAGUAGAGAAAAAGUCAAAAUACUACAAAAAAAGACAAAUUCAGAAAAUAAAGAGAAUCAAUAGAGUACUGGUAGGGUUAAAGAUGUUUGAAAGAGUUUGGAAGUGUAAAAAACUAUUGGUAUGGGUCACUUGAUUUUUCAAUGAUUUGUUGGGAGAUAAGUACACUAUCAGUGCCAUAAAUUGUGUACGACACUUAUUUUGGUGCAAAAAGUUUUUAUCAGAUCACUUAAGUGUCAAAAAGUUUGAAAAACGAUCAUUUUAAUGCCAACUCCGAUCUGGUUGACCAGAAAUCCGACGUGACACUUUUUUAUUAAUUUUUGAAGUUGAUGUGGCUCGCUGGAGAGUACAGUUAGCAUCCUAACACCAAAAUGACACCGUUUGGUGUCUCUCCCGAUUCAAAACCCUAAAUCUCCAGACAGUUGCUGUCCUCGACGGCCCCCGCACUCGGCGGCCGCGACUCUGACCUCGACCCCGACCCUAACCCCAACGAUAGCCACUUAGCGACCGCGACUACGACCCUGACCCCGAUCCCAACCCCGACGAUGGCCACUCGGCGGCCAUGGCUCCAACCCCGACCCUGACGAUGGCCACUCAGCAGCUAUGGCUUCAACCCCGACCCCGACCUCAACGAUGGCCACUUGGCGGCCGCGGCUCCGACCCCGACCUCGGCCCCGACCCCGACCCCGACGAUAGCCACUUGGUGGCUGUGGCUCCAACGUCGACCCCGACCCCAACCUCGACGACAGCCACUCGGCGGCCAAGUCGAAGGCCGUGAUCUGGCCGGUGCUCGGGGAGGCCACUGAUGAGUGCGCCACCAUUGAUGUCUCCCUCUCCAUUUUCGAUCUCUCUGACGAGUGCCUAGCCUGCAUCUUCCAGUACCUAGGCUCCGGCGACCGGGGCUGGUGCUCCCUUGUGUGCCAUUGAGGGUGUCCGAACAAUGCCAAGCAAUGGCGGCCUAGCAAUGGCAGAGGUCGAGUGACGACGACCAAGUGAGCUAGGUCGGAAAAACCCUAAUUUCAAUCCCCAAAUAAAUUCAACCAAAAAAAAAUCCCUAAAUAAAAAAAAAUCCCCAAAUGAGUUAAACGGCGUCGUUUUUGUGAGGCCAUCCACGUAGGACGGAAAAAUGACGUCGUUUUCUUAAAGAGGACCGAAAAUGACGUCGUUUUAUAGCAAACAGAACUUUUUUUUUUAAAUAAAAAAGUUACGUAAUUAAUUUGGCCGGAAUGUCACGCCGGUGGCACCAAAGUGAUUGUUUUUUCUCUGAUUUGGCACUUAAGUGAUCCGACAGAAACUUUUGGCACCAAAGUGAGCGCCGUACACAACUUAUGGCACUGAUAGUGUAGUUCCCCUUAUUUGUUGGCAACAUACUUGACACUUUAUGGAAACGCUAACUUAGUUUUUGUUCAAAUUGUUAAUUUUGUAUAUCUUUCACAACUUUUAAUUGUCUUCGUUACUAAUACUUGAAAUUCACCAAUUCUUAUAAAUUUACUAAUCAUUAUUUGAGUGACUAACCGGCUUUUUUCCUAUAUCUUUGACUAGAAUUUAUUAAUCUUUCUUACUAACACAUUAAAUUGAUCUACUAUUUUGUGAAAUGACUUACAUUUAUUAGAAUAACUGACCAACUUUUUUCCCAAGUAAUCCAAUUAAAGAGUUGGUAUUUAAAGAAAAAAGAUACAUAAGGUUGAUAACUUACUCAAAUGAGAGUUGAUAUUUUAGAACUAAUUGAUAACUUAAGAUUGUGUUUAACGGUCAAGAUAAAAUUCAUGAUGGGAUAAAAUUUAUUAUAUCUUGUGUUUGGUGUCUACUCAAGAUAAAAUAAAGUCGGAUAUAAGAAAGAUAUAUCCCAAAUAAAAUUAUCCCAUAAGGGAGAUGUAUGGAUAAGAUUUCUAAUAUUUAUAAUAGAAAAUUUAUUUUUCCCAAACGAAUUUUUUAUAUUAAUAAAAUUAAAAUUAUGUUUCAAUAAAAAUAAUAUUUCAAUUGUAAUAUAAUAAAUUCAACAUAGCAAAAAAUAACAACAAUUCAGUUUUUUAAUUUAAUAUUUUUUAUAUUUAUAUAUUUGAAUUCAAUCUAUCUUAUAACAUAAAUUCAAUAGAUAAAUAUAAAUAUAUAUUUAUCACUUUACAUAUUUUAGGAAUUUUAGUAUUUUAAGUAAAUUAGUACAAUUUAUUAUUUAUUAAAAUUUUAUUAGAGAAUGAUGGAAGGGGAAACAAGAAAUAAAAAAUAAAAAAUAAUUAAUAUUUUUUUUAACUGCAAAUAAGAAUGAAGUAGGUAACAAUGUGGCAAGAAAUUUUUACCAUUGUCGUUUCAACAACUUUUAGGUUCAUUUACAUUAAUAUGCAUUUUAUAUCAAAUAAUGUACAUGAUAUAAUGUUAAGGAAAAAUCUCAAAUAAGAGCCUAAAGUGGGUUCAUUUUCUCAAAAAAGAACCCAAAGUGGACACUAUAUCAAAUAAUGACCCAAAGUAGCUAAUUUUGUCUCAAAUGAAGACCCAAACUUUUAAUCUUAUUUACAGCUUGAGGUAGUUUUGUCCAAGAACAUUUUUUCUUUAAUUUUUUUUUCUUUCUUCAUCUUCCUCACACCUCCUCCUUCACUCUACAUUGCCUCCUUCUUCAACACCAUAAUCAGGGCCCCUACCAACGACCUCGUGAACUUCAUGUCAUCACGUAGUUGGUCCUAGUGACAAGAAGUCGGAUUGGAGUUAUUAGCUACUGGUCACCUUCUCGGAUACUAAAAUCCUCAAUUCCUCAAGAUGCAUCAAAUCUCGGCUCGCUUGUGCUCAACCUAAAGCUCAGAUUGACCUCCAUCUAACAACGACGAUGCUGGAUUUUCUAUCGGGGGCAACAGUCAAUGAGGUCGAGAGCUCGAAUAGGACUUGUUAAUGCUAGCAAUGGGGCAAUGAAGUACAACAAUUUCUACAGUUAAUGAUGUCAUAUACGAUUAAUGAUCAAUCUCAAGAUGGGGUUUGAUUGAGGAGAAGAACUGUGUUGAUGAGAAUGGCAAGAGUGUGAGUGAGUGUCUCCAAACUAGGGAUUAUUGAAAGGAGCCAUUGUCAUUGCAAAGGGGAAGGGGGAUCUUUGAAAGAUUGAAUUUACGCAAGAGAGGCAAACCCAAAUUUGAAAUUGAUGAGGCAAACUCUUGCCGAGGUUGAAAUAGUCGCCAACUAAAACAAAAUUGUUCUUUGGCAUGAAAUUAUUGAUCACCAAGUGUUAAUUGAAUAAAGGCAUAAGUUAGUCAAACAAGACGAUCUGGCAAUGCUUGGAUAUUGCUACUCUGUUGUUGGCAAGCAAGACCAAAAACAACACAAAAAAUUGUAAUUGCUGGGUUAGCAGAAGGCCUGGAAUAAGUGGAGUUCGAUGCACUCUCGAGGUGAGAGAAAUACAUCGCCAAAGGGAUUAGUUGCAUAGCUUAGGAGUUGGACAAGAAGUUGAGUCUCAACAAAAGCAAAUUCAUAUUAUGGGUUUGAGAUUAGAAUUUGCGAUGAAUGUUGGAAUAAAAAGAACUUAUUUUUGAAAGCUCAUUUCAACUGCGCGGAAUUGUCUACAAACCAUUUUGAGGAGCGAAAUUUAAAAUUUUCAAUGAAUUAGACUACAUUGUAAUGGCUUAUGUUAAAGAAAACCCAAUCUUGGUCAUAUAAUGAGAUGACACAAAGAGCGAUGGAGGGGCUGAUAAUGGAGGUGAUGUAGAGAGUGAGAAAGAUGAAGAAAGAAAAAAGAAGAAAGAGAGAAAAAAAAUAAACAACAAUGUUCUUGGACAAAAGUACCCUUGAUUGUGAAUAAAAUUAGAAGUUUAGGUCCUUAAUUGAGAGUAAGUUAGCCACUCCGGGUCCUUAUUUGAGACAGUGUCCACUUUAGAUCUUUUUUUGAGAAAAUGGCUCCACUUCAGGUCCUUAUUUGAGAUUUUCCCUAAUGUUAAUAUUAUUUAUUAUUAUGCUUCACCAAAUAAUAGAUAAGAUAUAACAAAGUCUCUAAAUUUCAAAUCAUAUCCUAUCUAGUCUUAUUGUAAUUAAAAAUCUAGAUGGCCAAAUGCAACCUAAUAGGACAAAAGUAAAUAAAUCAAUUAUAUUAAAAUUAAUUUUUUCAAAUAAGAGUUGAUGAACUUAGUCCAUAAUAAGAAAGCUAAAUAAAAAUUGAUAAAAAAAUGAUAAUUAAAAGAAAGACGAACUUGAUAAGUAACUCAAAUGACAGUUGGUAAUCCAAAACUAUUAGAUCACUUAAUCUUCAAAAAGUUAAUAAGAAACCCUAACUAAGAUUGGUUGUUCUAAAAAUAUUUAGUAAACUUAAAGCAUUGUUAAGAAAUGCUAAUAAAGAACCUCAAGGGUUGGUGCAGUUGGCACUCGAGGGCUUUUCAGCUCAAGAACUAGAUUUCACUCAAUCGAAUCUCCUCAGAUAUACAAAAUUGUUAUGGGGUAGGGCCAUCUAUAUAGACAAAAUGAAUAGACUUAAUUGGUUCAUGAUUCUUGCAUGGUAUUUUAUAAGCCUCCGGGUAGCAAACUCUCCAUGACACGCUCCUAUUUUGUACAAAGAAAAGCAAAUGAAUUUAAAGUUAUUAAUCCAAAACUAGUCAGCAAUCUAAUCUGACAAAAGCAUAUAAUUUAGUUGGUAAUUUUUUUAAAAGAGGUAUUUUUAAUAAGUUAUGGAAAUAAAGUUGGUAAGUUCAUAGAAAAAUUUAUAGUUUGCAAAGUGUUGGUAAGUUACCAACAAAUUGACUAAAAAAGAUACACGGUUUGUUUUUUUAUCAAUAAUUUAGACAUUGACCGAUACUUACUGGAUUUUAUGAGUAUGGAAAGAAUGCGCACUUUUUGGCAUGGAAUAUAUUGUGCAUUACAUUAGUAUCAUUCUACUCUUUUUCUAAAAAAAGGGUAAAAGAAAACGACAAAUAUUUUAGUAGUGAGUGAGGAAAAUUUCAAAUAAGGACAUAAAAUACUUUCAUUUUCUUAAAUAAAGGUAGAAAUUAUUUCAAAUAAUGACCCGAAGUGCCUUCAAUUUCUCAAAUAAUGGUCAGAAGUGGAUCUUAUUUGAAAUGAGGGUUUAAAGUGUCCAUAUCAGUUUCAAAGAAAUGCCUAAACUCAUUGGCUGUGAAGGGCAAUUUUGUCUUUUAAAAUUUCUAUUUUUUCUUUCUUUUUCCUUUUUUCUUUUCAUAAAAAAAGUAAAACACAGGUGAGAGGGAGUGCCAUGUUUUUUUUUUAAGUUUUUCUUAAUUUUUUUAAUAUAAUAUUAUUUAAAUUUAAUUUAUGUUUUGAUGAAAAUAUCCCUAAUCGAUUGGAAUAUUUUGCCAACAAGUGAGAUUAGGCCCUUUUUGAAAUAAUUAUAACCAUUUCAGGCUUUUUUUUUUUUGGGAUUAAUAUGCACACUUCUUGCCCUUAUUUGGAACUUUCCUAAUGACUGACCUAAAAAUUGCUGAGAUGAGAUCCAAGAAGAUAUUCUUCUUUUAGGAUCAUUGGACCAUGGACGUCAAUGCCAAUAAUGGCAAGUGGAUAAAUAGCUUUGAGAGUGGACGUAUUGAUGUGAUACGUUACAAAUAAUGAUUAAUCCCUGUUUGGUGCAACUCAUUGGAGCGUCAGAAGAAUUUCAUGGUUACGAUUUUCUAAACAGCUUAAAUCAAUUUACAGGGUCUAUUAAACUUUUCAUGCACAUCUAAAUAGUUAGUUUUUUCAUACUCUUGUCAGUAAACACCCCUCACAAGAAGACAAGAAGAAGAAAAUUUUCCGGGCCCCGCACUGAUAUUGGAACACACCAGCAUCGCUCAAGUACCCACUAAUCACUGCUGCUACAUCACAGGUAAGACCAUGGACACUUCACUUAAUUGCGAGAGAAACGCAAGAAAAUGAAGGAUUCAAGUAAAUCCCCGAAACCACAUGGCUUAGUUCUAUCAUGGCCAGCCCAAGGCCACAUCAACCGCACACAUGCUCCAAUUCGCCAAGCGUCUACUCCACGAAGGAGUUAAAGACACUCUUGUCACCGCCAGAUCAAUGUCCAAGACCCUUCAUGGAUCCCCACGUACCUCCAUUGCCCCCGAGAGAUACUCCGACAGCUUCGACGGCGGCGGCAUGAAGGCUGCCACAAGCAUCGAAGCCUACCUCGAGCAUUUUUGGAAGGUCGGCCUCGACACCCUGAGUGAGCUGGUCGAGAGGCUAAUCUCUGGCGGUCCACUGCCGAGUUGCGUUGUCUACGACUCGUUCUUGCCUCGCGCUCUUGAAAUGGCCCAAAAGUUUGGGCUGCUUGGGGGCUGCUUGUUCCACCAGUUCUUGAGCUGUGAUCAGUGUGUUUAACCACUACCAAAAGGGACUGCUUGAGGUUUCAGUGAGGAAGCAAGUUUUGCUUCCUGAAAUGCCUCCUCUCGAGCCACAAGGCAUUCCAUCUUUUGUGUGAUGUGGGGGUCAUACCCACAAUUCUUUGGCAUGGUUGGAGGGAACCAGUUCUCCAAUUUAGAGAGAGUGGGUUGGGUGCUCUGCAAUGCAGUGUAUGAGCUGGAACAAGAAGUACACAACUGUAUGGGAGCUCCCAAAUUGCAGAUUAAUUGAACGUACAAGGUAAAAUGGACUGUAUAGGACCUUCUCGACGUAUAUGCUUUGGUGUAUUUUGCAUACAUAGGUCAAGUAUUUAACUGACAAUCAUUUAAAGAUAUCAUUGUCGAUGUUUGACACGACUUUGUUAUCAAGAAAAAGAAAAUGACAAGUUAUCACUCAAAUUGUCUGGCUUAAAAGGGACAUUAGUUUUAAGGUUUGUUAUGAAGUGCUACUUGAUGAAGUUAUAAAUUGUAGUGAAUAUAUAGAGUGUGAUUAUUUGAAAGAGGCAAAUAGGGAUUUAAUAUGAAAUAUUAAGUGCCAAUUUGCAUGAGUUGAUUAACAAUCGAGAAAUAUUUCGAGAGUGAACGACUGUAUUUAAAUGAGGUUAAUUUCAGAAAAUGAUAAGUUAUGACAUGCACAUUUUUUUUACAUCAAUUGAUAUAUUCAGGUUAUUUAGGUAAUUAUUAAUAUGAAUGGAUUAUAGAUGAUUUUGUGAAAUUUAGAUUAGGUCACGAAAUUUGUGAUGCACAGAAAGUUUGAACGUACUUACCUUGUCUGUAAUUUUUGAGGGAGUGAUUGACAUGUCUAGUAAUUUUUAACUGGUUUAAAAUUUAUAAAAUGCAAAAUUUUAUGGAGUAAUUAUGUAAUUAUAGAAAUAUGGAAUUAUAUGAAAAUAUUUUUAAUUUUUAUGAUUUAGGUAAAUUUAAUCAAAGCGCGGUCUUAGAAACAAAAAUUAUAUGAGUUACUUAAGUUAUUGAAAAAAAUAAUGUUCUAAGGCUUAAUUCUUCUAAAUGAUUUAUAAAAAUUCAAAAUUUCUCAAUUAAAUGAUGAUGGCAUGGUGUUUAGCGGAUGAAGUUUUGUAUAUUGAAAAACAUGAAACCAUUUGAUUGGCACUAUUUACACGAGAAACGCCAAGAAAUUAUACUAUUUGCACUCUAAUUACAUGACGAUUGUUAUGUGAUAAUGAUUUGCACUUGAUGGUAAUGACUGUUUCAUGAAUAAGAGUUUGUUUUUAGAAAUGAUGAUAAAUGGAUACUUGGUUUCUAUCAAUACUAUGGAAAAUGCCUAGAGAUUAGUGUGAAAAAAAUUUACAUGUUAUUAUUAAUUGUACAUGGUAAUUGUUAUCAUGAUUUGUAUAUCAAAGAUGCCAUGGAAUGAAUACUUCUGCCACAGCCUAUUCAUCAGAGAGCGAAUUGCCCUACAUGAGCAUGUGUAUUAGACUCCAGAAAAAGAAAAAUGUUUUAUAAUCCCUGAUAGUUUUCUAUUACUACAAGGUUGAGAGAAUAAUAAAUCUUAUGGUUCAUACAAGAAAUGAUAUAACUUGUGCAGCCUAAUGAGGCUUGAGCAGCAUAAUAUGAGAAUGAGUAUAGAAUAGCAUUAUCAUGCAGUUGUACAAUUGUGUAUUUAUACUUGCUAAUGUAGAGGGCACCAUGAUGGAUAGGUUAAAGUGGGGGCAAACAUGUGUUUAUGAUUCCAUCCUCAUAAGUUGGUGAUAACGGUGGAUACUCGUGAUGGAUGGAUUAAGGCGCAGCAAAGUUGUGGCUAUGAUGUUUAUCCCCAUGAGUUGAUGAUGACGAGACAUAAUUAAUCAAGAUGAAUUCUGGCGAGCGAUGAGUAGAGAAUAGAUAUACACCUACGCGGCUUGCAAUGCACAAUAGGUCGGUCAAAAGACAGAUUGAUCCAGUGGAAAAUGCCUGGUCCUCCUACUUGCUGUGCGUGAAAUUUAAUUUCGAAGAGUAAGAGCCACUUGUUUUUGGGUUGUCCUUUCUCUGUUCAAGCCCAGUGUACGAUACUGCAGCUUCAUCAAGUGCCGAGAAGGGUUGCCGACUGGUAGCUUGAGGUUGAUUGGGUUGUGGCCAGCUAGGAAUGGUUGUUUGCCCUCUCCUACCGCUACUUCUAUUAGAACUGCUUCCAAUGGUUCUCAGAUAAGAAGACCAGUGCAGAGUAGGUUGGCUAGAUGUGCUCUAGAAGCUCCGCCGGUUUCAUCCGAAAGUACAACGAUAUAGAUAUAGUCUAUGAAAGCGUACAGAUAAACCGCUAGCGCUUCUCUAUUCAACAGCAUAUGAUCCAGCUAAACCCCUAAGUAUCCAAAUAUUCACAUCAAUAAGGGUCCUAAAUAUCUAAAUAUUCACAUCAAUCAGGGUUUAAUCUUUUACUUUUCUACUCAUAUAUAUACUUGUGAUGGAGAAUUUCACUUUGAAUAUCUAUUUUUAUACUUACUAAGGUCCGAUUGAGCGCAUCUGUAAUUUAUGAAUAGCUAUAUUGCUUUAGAGAAAGUAGAUCUAAUAAAUAAGGCUUUUAGCUCUAUCUUAUAAGGAUGCUCAACAGUCUCCGUUUGUUGUGCUUAGAGGAUUCGAAAUUAAUUUUUUUCCAUAGUUCUAGAAUUUCAAAAUCCUAUAUAAUUAUCUUAGAGAUUUGGAUUGCCUCAUUUCCUUUUUAUUAAAUAUUUGAUUAGAUUUCAGAUAGCAUUUUAAGAGAUUUUCUUUACUUGUUUGAAUAUUUCCAAUAAAGUUUGUAUUUGAGCUGGGUGCGUGUAUUAUGAGUUUUCAUGGCUGGAACAAGAUCAAUAAAGUAAUGAUCUUUAUAUGAUGAAAUUACACGAACGUUCAUUUAACGUGUCUGUUCCUACACUUACGUGCAUGCUGACAAUCUUCAUCCAAGACCCAUGUAAUGAUAAGAUCCUAGGCAUGAUGAUCUUCAAUGGGGCUGAACUAAAAAUUAGGUGGGGAUAAAAAUCUCUCACGACAGGAUCAACACGUUAUGAUUUUCAGUGGGGGCUGAAAAUCAGGUUGGGAUGAUAUGGCCUUUUGUAGUGGUUCCAUGAAGCUCUCUCUUCAACUUGUAACUCGUUUCCAUUUGUUUUCUACCAGGGUUGAAUGGUUGGUUUUGUUAUCUCCUUUUCGUGAGGAUUCUGGUCACAAUUUACCUUCAUGAUUACCUCUUGGACAUUUUUUUUUCUUUAACAUUCUUUGCCCGAUAUUUGUAUAUUGGCCAAAUUUUCUUCACCC